GAUCAUGGCUCAGGAUUUAGAACGCUGGCGGCAUGCCUUACACAUGCAAGUCGAACGGCAGCACGGGCAACCUGGUGGCGAGUGGCGAACGGGUGAGUAAUGCAUCGGAACGUGCCAUUGAGUGGGGGUAACGUAGCGAAAGUUACGCUAAUACCGCAUAUUCUGUGAGCAGGAAAGCAGGGGAUCGCAAGACCUUGCGCUCUUUGAGCGGCCGAUGUCAGAUUAGCUAGUUGGUGAGGUAACGGCUUACCAAGGCGACGAUCUGUAGCGGGUCUGAGAGGAUGAUCCGCCACACUGGAACUGAGACACGGUCCAGACUCCUACGGGAGGCAGCAGUGGGGAAUUUUGGACAAUGGGGGCAACCCUGAUCCAGCCAUGCCGCGUGAGUGAAGAAGGCCUUCGGGUUGUAAAGCUCUUUCGGCCGGGAAGAAAUCGCAUGGGUUAAUACCCUGUGUGGAUGACGGUACCGGCAUAAGAAGCACCGGCUAACUACGUG
rnacentral:rRNA from 1 species